rnacentral:rRNA from 1 species
CUACGGUGGGCUGCAGUGGGGAAUAUUGGACAAUGGGCGAAAGCCUGAUCCAGCCAUGCCGCGUGUGUGAAGAAGGCCUUCGGGUUGUAAAGCACUUUCAGUGGGGAAGAAAGCCUUGGGGCUAAUACCCUCGAGGAAGGACAUCACCCACAGAAGAAGCACCGGCUAACUCCGUGCCAGCAGCCGCGGUAAUACGGAGGGUGCGAGCGUUAAUCGGAAUUACUGGGCGUAAAGCGCGCGUAGGCGGUCUGAUAAGCCGGUUGUGAAAGCCCCGGGCUCAACCUGGGAACGGCAUCCGGAACUGUCAGGCUAGAGUGCAGGAGAGGAAGGUAGAAUUCCCGGUGUAGCGGUGAAAUGCGUAGAGAUCGGGAGGAAUACCAGUGGCGAAGGCGGCCUUCUGGACUGACACUGACGCUGAGGUGCGAAAGCGUGGGUAGCAAACAGGAUUAGAUACCCCAGUAGUC